rnacentral:rRNA from 1 species
GGCGGACGGGUGAGUAACGCGUGGGAACGUGCCUUCCGGUUCGGAAUAACCCUGGGAAACUAGGGCUAAUACCGGAUACGCCCUUAUGGGGAAAGGUUUACUGCCGGAAGAUCGGCCCGCGUCUGAUUAGCUAGUUGGUGGGGUAACGGCCUACCAAGGCGACGAUCAGUAGCUGGUCUGAGAGGAUGAUCAGCCACACUGGGACUGAGACACGGCCCAGACUCCUACGGGAGGCAGCAGUGGGGAAUAUUGGACAAUGGGCGCAAGCCUGAUCCAGCCAUGCCGCGUGAGUGAUGAAGGCCUUAGGGUUGUAAAGCUCUUUUAUCCGGGACGAUAAUGACGGUACCGGAGGAAUAAGCCCCGGCUAACUUCGUGCCAGCAGCCGCGGUAAUACGAAGGGGGCUAGCGUUGCUCGGAAUCACUGGGCGUAAAGGGCGCGUAGGCGGCGUUUUAAGUCGGGGGUGAAAGCCUGUGGCUCAACCACAGAAUGGCCUUCGAUACUGGGACGCUUGAGUAUGGUAGA